GUGUACUAUUUUGUAUGUAUAUUUGUCUCACAGAAUCUAGAUAAAGGUCAAAUACCAGCAGGAAGGGCAGGGAUGUGAUGGGUCUUGAAUGCAGAGGGACUCAGAGGGCAGCUCCCAAGCUUCGCGACUUGAGGUCUCACUGCGGCUCUUCUCCGAACAUCUAGAGCAAGGGAAUCCUUAGCAAACCACACAGAACAUUUGAGAAAGGUCUGCCGGGGGCCCCUCCGGCUUCAGCUAGGCCUCUCCUGCAGAACUGUAAAUAGGUACCCAGUCAGCAGAAGUGGGACAGCCGCCCAAGGAGGAGGGUUGAGGCGGGGGCAGGCUGGGGAGGCUUGUGCAUCUCUCUCUCCCCAUGGAAGGCACUCCUCGGAAGAUCCUGCGCAGAAGAAGGAGCGAGAGGGGGUGUUAACCUUGACCCUGGGACCCCACCUCACAAGUCAUCUCUUCCAGGCUGGGGGCUCUGGAAGGAGGCAAAGCGAUGGGACCAGGGCGAGGAGCCCUGCUUGGUGGCCCCCAGGAGCUGUCCUGGAGGCACCCUCAGCGAGCUGGGCGGCCUUCCAGUGUCCCAUUGCUCUGUGCCCAAUCUUCCCCCGGUCACCCCUGCCCAGAGUGACCUCUCGCCCCUUGGAAUUUCUCUUUCUUUUUGGCUCUUGGCCCUCCCAGCAGCAGGUCUGGAAAGCCUAAGGUGACGUCUGGCAAGUUACCCAACCUCAGUGUUCUCACCUGUGGAAUGAAGAUCAUCAUCGUAGGUACUUCAAGGGGGUGGUGGGGCGGCUCAGGGGAGAUCAGAGCUUGAGCAACGGCGCAUGCACUCUAAACUCCAGGAUUCAAUCCAGUCUGCUGUGUGCCUCGGGCAAGUUACUUGAGCUUUACUGUCUAUAAGGUGAGAUGAGAAGCGUGGCACCUAUUUCCCAGGACUGCUGGGAGAAUAAGUGAGCGAACGCACGGAGGGCGCUUUGAGUGGUGCCUGGCCCUUACCGCGUGCUAGGUGGGCGCCUGCUGUAGAGAGGGGAGCCCUGUGCUGUGCGCAUGGCAGACCCUCAGGAAAUGAGCCCUGAUGCCCCAACCCCACUCCUUGCUCGGGGUGGGGGGGGGGCCUUCUCUCCCGGUUAGCUUGUGCUCCUGGGUGGGAGGGGCAUGCGGUGGGAGUUUGACACAACUUUGUUGAUUCACCAUCCAGAGAGCUGCCAGAUGCCCCUCUGUGUUUUUCUUACCUUUUUUUUUUUCCCUUUCUGGUGGAAGUGGAGGUUGGGACCGUGUCACAAACUCUGCUGGGAAACCGAUGAAAGCUCUGGACCAUCUCCCCAGAAAGGAGUUAAAAACAACACCUGUUCAGCGUUUGAGGGCGAAGAAGAAAAAGAAGGAGAAGACUCAACUUUGAUAGAGAAACAGAAGGAAUCGUCCUCCAAGCCAAACGCCAUAAUUCACCGCGCUUUUAUUCGCUGAGUGGGACUAAAUGGUAUUUAUGACCCAACAGGCCCUGGACUCACCCCGAGUUGAGUGAUUCAGGAGUUGCCCAAACUCUGGCAGCAGGGAGGAAAGACACGGGAGUAGGGAGAUCAGACAACUUGCAGGGGAGAUUAUAUUGUUCACGAUUGGUGUGAUUUUUUUUUUUUUUUAUCUACUUACAGUAAGUGUAGUUUCGGAAUUUUCGUACAAGUUUCUGGGAAGAUGAUAACCCCAAACAAGAUCUGUUAACUUGAGGUCAGUUGUGGGCUUGGAAUAGGGCUGUAUGCUGUAGGGCCCAAUCAAUUCAUUCAUUCAAGAUUUAUUAGGUGCCUUCCUUACACAUGAGAGUUGUUCUAGGUACUGGAGUAAUGGCAGUGUACAAGGCAACAGAGGUCCCUGUCCUAAUGAAGUUUGCAGCCUUGGCAGGAGAGAUAGAUAACCAAAUAAACGAGCCCAAAGACUUCUGCUGAAAGCUGGAUGGAGUCGGUGAUAUUUCAAGAUGUUAACCUUAAGAAAGGCCAUACUGUUGGUUAUAGACUGAAUGUUUGUGGUUUGUGUCCUCUCAAAAUCCCUUUGUUGAACUUCUAAGCCCCAGUGUGAUGGUAUUCGGAGGUGGGACCUUUGGGAGGUGAUUAGGCCUUUGGGAUGGGAUUAGUGCCCCUCUAAGACUCCCCAGAGAGCUCCCUCACCCUUUCUGCUAUGUGAGGAUGAGGUAAAAGACAGCUGUCUAUGAACCAGGAUGCAGGCUUUCGCCAGAACCUAGCCAAGCUGGUGUCUCGAUCUUGGACCUCCCAGCCUCCAGAACUGUGAGAAAUAAAUUCCCGAUGUUACAAACACCCCCGUCUAUGGUAUUUCUGUUUAAGCAGCCUAAAGGGACUCAGACGCUGAUAGAGGAUAUAUGGGGGACAGAGAAACCAGCAAGCUA